ensembl:lncRNA
GUGAAUAUGUCACUCUCAGUCUUUGCAGUCUCUCUCUCUCUCUCUGAUAACCUUGGCUGAAGGAACUAAUCUGGGCCAUUUGCACAGCAGAUCCAGAGAAAGAGGGAGCGUGUCUGAGAAGUCUCCGCAGGAGGGAGGUCACCGCUGAUGCUGCUGGAGAAGCAGAUUAUUUGUGGACGCAGCGAGCCGAGGGGGGUUUGAGUCAUCCACCUCCACCUUUACAGGGAUGGAGGGUGAUGGGCAUCUGCUGAGCUGAAGGAAGUGUUUCCGGAGUGAAUAUUUGAUGGAGGUCUGCUGUAGUGUGUCCUGAGGACAUAUGGCCUGCAGCAGAACAGCGUCCCAUCCGCUCGGACACUCACUGUAAUGGCUUCUGUCAGGAUGCAGCAGAACAAACAGCCGGCACAGAUGCAGGGGAAGUCCAUCACGUACGCAUCCAGUGCUCAUCUCUGCAGUCGGCCCGAACUAGGCAUAAUUUAUUGACUGAAGAUGGAGUCAAUAGAUCCUAAAGCACACUUAAACCUAGUCAGCAGUGAUUACGAGGUGUUGAGCGCACACCGCAAACUUAUGCAAGCUUAUGUCUAGAAAAAAUGUUAUCUUUUCAUGAGAGGCCUAAAGCUGUCAACUUGAUUAAGGACGCAGAUGAGCAUCUGAGGAUCCGGCCAAACACACUGAGAUAUGCAAAAAUACAGUCUGUUGUGUCGAGGAAAGGCGAACAUGUUUGAAAGCAAUCGUCCCUGCUCUUCUGCAUCACUGGAUUUUAAUAUAAGCACAUGGAGAUAUUCAGAUAACAGCACAG